AGUAGUGGUAUUUACAGAUGGUUGGGUGACAGAAAAAGUAAAUAACUACGUUUCAUUACAGUUUCCUGUUUCCUUCUUGAUUCUUUUCAAGGGAAAAUUUUCUUUUUUAGAGACACAGGCCAUUCAGUCCCGAAUCCCAAGACACUGAAGACUCUGUUUGAAUCGGACUCACGGGUUCCUUCCUAGCUACUCUCAGGGACAGGAAUGCUUCUGGUGAAGAAGUUUUCAGUAGCGGUUCAUGGAGCUUCCCUACACCAACUUGGAAAUGGCAUUCAUUUUAUUGGCUUUUGUUAUCUUUUCCUUAUUUACCCUGGCUUCCAUCUACACUACUCCGGAUGACAGUAAUGAAGAGCAAGAACAUGAAAUAAAGGGAAAGGAAAAGAAAAGGAAAAAGUCUGAAAAGAAGAAAAAUUGCUCAGAGGAAGAGCAUAGAAUUGAAGCUGUUGAGCUAUGAUCUCAUAGCCGCCGAUAUUUCUCGCUAAGAAGACAGAGGAAGCAAUCCAUGGGAACUACUUAUCCACAGUAAACAAGAGGAGGGGAUAAUGAAGAAAGUUAAAAUCACUUACUGAUUAAACACGAUGAUAAUAACCAUUAAUGAACUCAAUACUCGGGAAAGGCUUCACAACAUUUCUGGGACUUGGCAUUAUCCAAAAUAUCUAUCAAGAGCUAUACACCAUUCUAGCUGCAAUUGAUUACACACACACACACACACACACACAAAAGGCCAAA
rnacentral:sRNA from 1 species